rnacentral:rRNA from 1 species
UGAGCAAUCUGCCCUUCUCUUCGGAAUAAGCGUUGGAAACGACGUCUAAUGCCGAAUACGACCUCCUUUCGCAUGAUCGGAGGUGGAAAGCUCCGGCGGAGAAGGAUGAGCUCGCGGCCUAUCAGCUAGUUGGUGUGGGUAAUGGCCCACCAAGGCGACGACGGGUAGCCGGCCUGAGAGGGUGACCGGCCACACUGGGACUGAGACACGGCCCAGACUCCUACGGGAGGCAGCG